rnacentral:rRNA from 1 species
UACGGAGGGGGCUAGCGUUAUUCGGAAUUACUGGGCGUAAAGCGCACGUAGGCGGCUUUGUAAGUCAGAGGUGAAAGCCUGGAGCUCAACUCCAGAACUGCCUUUGAGACUGCAUCGCUUGAAUCCAGGAGAGGUGAGUGGAAUUCCGAGUGUAGAGGUGAAAAUUCGUAGAUAUUCGGAAGAACACCAGUGGCGAAGGCGGCUCACUGGA